GCUGGCGUAGCUCAGUUGGUAGAGCAGCUGAUUUGUAAUCAGCAGGUCGGUGGUUCGAGUCCUCUCGCCAGCU
rnacentral:tRNA from 1 species